ensembl:lncRNA novel transcript
AACAAUGACAAUAAUAUGUUCUUCCUGACAAAUGGCAAUGGUUGUAUCAACAUCCUCAGCUACCCAGAACUGAAGCCUGUGCAGUCCAUCAACGCCCAUCCUUCCAACUGCAUCUGUAUCAAGUUUGACCCCAUGGGGAAGUACUUUGCCACAGGAAGUGCAGAUGCUUUGGUCAGCCUCUGGGAUGUGGAUGAGUUAGUGUGUGUUCGGUGCUUUUCCAGGCUGGAUUGGCCUGUAAGAACCCUCAGUUUCAGCCAUGAUGGGAAAAUGCUGGCGUCAGCAUCGGAAGAUCAUUUUAUUGACAUUGCUGAAGUGGAGACAGGUAACUUCAUGAGAAUCUACCGUCUUUCACCUUUGGCAGUCAGGACUUCUCUUGUGAUCUCAUCUCUGCAUGUGACUACUUCACCAGCAUGAUCAUGAAUGAAUUUGUCUCCUUUAGACAAGGGACAAACUAUGGGAGGUACAGUGUGAGUCUCCG